AUGAUGGAGAAAUUGUUUCAUUGCACGCGCAGCACUUACUUUACGAAUGUAGUUGCUACAGCAGGAGGCCACAUUAUCGCUCUGUGGCACAUUGAUUAUGAGGAUGGUCCUAUAUGGUGGAAAAGGUACCCUGUGUCAGUGACAUCCAUUCAGUUUUCUCAAUACAAACCAACGGCUUUUAUUAUUAGUCGCGCUGAUGGGUUUGUUGAAAUAUUCGAUCUAAUUCGUCAGUCUCACAACGCAGUCCAUAGCUUCUUCAUCUCUGGAGAGGUUAUAACAGGUAGAGUUUGCUAAAUUUCCUCACUCCGAGUUUUUUUUUUUUUUUUUUUUUUUUGAGAAAACACAAAAAGUGGAAUUGCCAUAUCAAACCUAAAAACUGUGUAUUCCGGUUUUCAUUGUUGAAAAGUUGCAACUUUAUUUUAGUGUUAAGCAACCAAUGGAGGCCAACGGCUCUUAAGGUUAAACUUUUCAUUUGUUUAAUCUUUUUGUUUUUAGAAAUGCAGAACCAAUUCUCCCAUUUGUAUCUGGUCUUUGCUCCAUUGCUGCUGAUUAUAAUGGAAUAAUCAGGUUGUUUCACGUCCCACAAAAGUAUCAUCAAAUCAAUCCGCGAGAAGUGAGUGCUUCGAUAUCAGUCUUCGAUACUUAACUUUACUUACCAUUGCAACAAAGAGCCUCUUCUGCAUGUUAUAAAAGCUCGUUUUGAUGUUGAAAUGUAAUUAAUCAGUCCAAAUUAAGACAAAUAAGGGUCUAAACGUCGAAAAUCAAGCAACAAGUGCAAAUGUUUGUAUUUUUGAUUGAUGAAACCAACGUUAAAGAAACCAUGGUACACUACCAUGGUGAUGAUGUCAAACACCAUGUUUUUCAAUGAGCCAUAUUUUUGUUGAUAUUGGACGUGAACAAUCGGGGUUUGGACAGAUUUUAUUUAAAUUUAUGAGUUUAAACCAUCAGAAUACCAUUCCAUGACCAGCGCAAUUGAUCUAUUCUCUUGAUUUUUUGCUAGAAGGACUUAUUACUUCAUUGAAAAUUCCUUUCAAAGAUAUUUUCUGGAAAAGGAAUCUCUCAUUCUCUGUUUAAUAGAAAUCAUUUAAGUGGUUUUAAAAGUAAACUUCUCUUUUCUUUCUACUCGCUAAUUAUUGUCAGUAAAUGUUUGUUAUCUUUAUACAGAUUGAAACAGUGAGAGCAUUUUUUAGACCGAGAACCUGAACGAAGACGUGCAAUGAGCGAAUGGAAUAAAUCUUUUAAAGAUAAUAAAGGCCACAGUGUACAAAUAGAAUCCUACCAGAGCACAAAGAGAAGAAAAAUCAAAACCAUCUAAACCUCUAUCAGCAUUUAAAAGAGCAGCGAAGUAUCAAGAAGAAGUUUUCAAGUAAGUCAAGGUUCACUGUCCGUAUGGUAACUUUAUUUAUACAAUUUUUGCAUGCAACUCAUAAAUUAUGCAAAAUCUUCCCCUCCUAAAAACCACAUUGUUGGUUAUUGAUCGUAAAAAUCUCACCGGAAAGAGUUAAAGUCCUGGGCCUGUUGCAAACUUUUGCUAGAGCAAAAAUAAGAGUCAAUGUCCCCAUAGACAAUGUCUCAAAAAUCAUGAUGAGCGCAUCGGCAAACUUUGAAAUGCACUCCUCAUUUCACAAUCUGCGUGAGUAAUUUGCGUUUUUUUAAGCUUCCUGCUUCAAAAAGGAUACUACAGCACAGGUGAACAUUUCGUUAGAGGAGUCGUUCCAUUCAAUCCCUGCUCAACAUGGCCGACGCUUAUGCGCGCAAGUUGAGGAAAGCAUGAGUUCAAUCAAGGUGGAUAUCUAUCAACGCGAGAAAAAUGUGAAUGUAAACACGCCGACUGUUAUCAGGUGGUUAGAAUCAUCGUCCUGUCACAUGUAUUUUGGCGGAUUGGCGUUGACUAUUGCAUAGUAUCCUUGAGAGCAAGGGUUGGAUGGAAUGACUCCUCUAAUGAAAUGUUCACCUGUGCCAUCGUAUCGUUUUUGAAGCGAGAAGCUCGAAAAAACGCAAAUUUCUCAUGCAAAUCGUGAAGUAGGGGAGUGCAUUUCAGACUUUGCCAAUGCGCUCAUGUGAUUUCUGAGACACUUAUUGUAAGUGACAACUCUUAUUUUUGCUCUGGCAAAAGUUUGCAACAGACCCAUUCUCAGAACUAAACAAGCACUCUUACUUUCGGUGUAUGACGCAUCUCCUACAAGAGAUGUAUGCAGUUUACUGAUUGCAGAACUAGGAACAGCAGAAAGGGGGGGGCUGGGAAUCCCUUGCCAUAGCUAAAGUGCAUCGCAAGCAAAGUUAUCAGUGUCUGCCAGCAGGCAACAGUUACAGUUUGUUAUCAUUUUCAUUCACAAAGAACGUGAAUUCUAAUAGCUUGAAAUCGUUGGUAGUGACCUCCGUCAAACUCAGUUUGUUUCAGACUCAAGGUUCAAGAGGGCCAAAAAUCGCCGCACGAGACCAGCUUCUUAGGAUCAAAACUGUCUCUGGUCGAUCUGUUGAUCUUGCUCCUUUAAGCGUGAGUCUGAGCUUAGGUCUCUUAGAGCCUUAACUCAUGAUACAAUUAGAAUCCUUGGACCAGAUCAUUAAGCUCUCUUUGCAUGUCAUCUGCUUCUAACUGUUUUCCUGUUUUUGUCCAGGUGGUAUAUCAGACGAAGGGGAUCUUUCCCAUGGAUUCGUAAGAAAUAGAAGAGUUGGAAAAAAGAGAAGAAAAAUAUGUCCUUCAGGUCAGUUCCAUCUUGUAUUAAGUUGAAAUAUUAAAUAUUCUAUUAGGUAUGAAAAUCAAAUGACCUGCAUUUAUCUAAAAUUUAAUUUUCGUUUCAUCUUCAU
rnacentral:lncRNA from 1 species